rnacentral:rRNA from 2 species
AAUUCGAUGAUACGCGAAGAACCUUACCGGGGUUUGACAUGCAGGUGAUCGCCGUUGAAAGACGGUUUCCUCUUCGGAGGCACCUGCACAGGUGCUGCAUGGCUGUCGUCAGCUCGUGUCGUGAGAUGUUGGGUUAAGUCCCGCAACGAGCGCAACCCUCGACCUUAGUUGCCAGCAUUCAGUUGGGCACUCUAAGGUGACUGCCGGCUAAAAGUCGGAGGAAGUGGGGAUGACGUCAAAUCAUCAUGCCCCUUAUGACCUGGGCUACACACGUGCUACAAUGGCCGGUACAGACGGAGGCGAAGCCGCGAGGCGGAGCAAAUCCGAAAAAGCCGGUCUCAGUUCGGAUUGCGGGCUGCAAUUCGCCUGCAUGAAGUCGGAAUCGCUAGUAAUCGCAGGUCAGCAUACUGCGGUGAAUACGUUCCCGGGCCUU